rnacentral:rRNA from 1 species
AGCAGCCGCGGUAAUUCCAGCUCCAAUAGCGUAUAUUAAAGUUGUUGCAGUUAAAAAGCUCGUAGUUGAAUUUCGGGGUCAGUAGGUUGGUCGUGCCAAUGGUAUGUACUGGCUUUACUGAUUCCUCCUUCUUGAAGAACUGUAAUGCCAUUAAUUUGGUGUUGCAAGGGAAUCAGGACUGUUACUUUGAAAAAAUUAGAGUGUUUAAAGCAGGCUUACGCUUGAAUACAUUAGCAUGGAAUAAUGAAAUAGGACGUUGAUCUUAUUUUGUUGGUUUCUAGGAUUGACGUAAUGAUUAAUAGGGAUAGUUGGGGGCAUUAGUAUUCAAUUGUCAGAGGUGAAAUUCUUGGAUUUAUUGAAGACUAACUACUGCGAAAGCAUUUGCCAAGGAUGUUUUCAUUAAUCAAGAACGAAAGUUAGGGGAUCGAAGACGAUCAGAUACCGUCGUAGUCUUAACCAUAAACUAUGCCGACUAGGGAUCGGAUGAUGUUAAUUUUUAAUGACUCAUUCGGCGCCUUAA